GAGACGUUGAUUUAGAUCUGUUUCAAGCAUGUUGAGCAAACCAGCAGCCAAGAGGCAAAAAACUUUACCUUGUUUUUUCCAAACAAACCCUUGAUACCAGCCCCUCCUGCACCAGUGACCACUUCUGGACAAUGGACCUCAACUGCACCAGUGAUGCCAGCCUCUAAUGCACCAGUGAACGCUCCUUGACCAGUAACCUCUACUGCAACAGUGACCUCUUCUGGACCGCAACAGCGGCAGCGACCCGCCCACAAAGCUACUUCCGUUUUGGGCACUUCACACAAGGACCUCGGGGACAAAGACAUGGGUUCUUGAAGCAGCCACAGAAGACCAUCUUGCCUUCAAGCGGUUUUCAGAAGCCAUCGAGAUGGAAACAGUGGAGG